GGCGGCGUGCUUAACACAUGCAAGUCGAACGGUGAACCAGAGGCUUUGGCUCUGGGGAAUCAGUGGCGAACGGGUGAGUAACACGUGGGCAACCUGCCCCAGACUCUGGGAUAACCUCGGGAAACCGAUGCUAAUACCGGAUACGACCACUUCGGACAUCCGACGGUGGUGGAAAGUUUUCGGUCUGGGAUGGGCCCGCGGCCUAUCAGCUAGUUGGUGGGGUAAUGGCCUACCAAGGCGACGACGGGUAGCCGGCCUGAGAGGGCGACCGGCCACACUGGAACUGAGACACGGUCCAGACUCCUACGGGAGGCAGCAGUGAGGAAUAUUGCACAAUGGGCGAAAGCCUGAUGCAGCGACGCCGCGUGAGGGACGACGGCCUUCGGGUUGUAAACCUCUUUCAGCAGGGACGAAGCGAAAGUGACUGUACCUGCAGAAGAAGCACCGGCUAACUACGUG
rnacentral:rRNA from 1 species